AAAUGAAUAGACGGGGGCCCGCACAAGCAGUGGAGCAUGUGGUUUAAUUCGAAGCAACGCGAAGAACCUUACCAGGGCUUGACAUCCCGCUGACCGGGCCAGAGAUGGUCCUUUCCCGUUUGGGACAGCGGAGACAGGUGGUGCAUGGUUGUCGUCAGCUCGUGUCGUGAGAUGUUGGGUUAAGUCCCGCAACGAGCGCAACCCUUGUCCCUAGUUGCCAGCACGUUGGGGUGGGCACUCUAGGGAGACUGCCGCAGACAAUGCGGAGGAAGGUGGGGAUGACGUCAAAUCAUCAUGCCCCUUAUGUCCUGGGCUACACACGUGCUACAAUGGCCGGUACAAAGGGUUGCGAACCCGCGAGGGGGAGCCAAUCCCAAAAAGCCGGUCUCAGUUCGGAUUGCAGGCUGCAACUCGCCUGCAUGAAGGCGGAAUUGCUAGUAAUCGCGGAUCAGCAUGCCGCGGUGAAUACGUUCCCGGGCCUUGUACACACCGCCCGU
rnacentral:rRNA from 1 species